rnacentral:rRNA from 1 species
GAUGAACGCUGGCGGCGUGCCUAAUACAUGCAAGUCGAGCGAGCAGACGAGGAGCUUGCUCCUCUGACGUUAGCGGCGGACGGGUGAGUAACACGUGGAUAACCUACCUAUAAGACUGGGAUAACUUCGGGAAACCGGAGCUAAUACCGGAUAAUAUAUUGAACCGCAUGGUUCAAUAGUGAAAGACGGUUUUGCUGUCACUUAUAGAUGGAUCCGCGCCGCAUUAGCUAGUUGGUAAGGUAACGGCUUACCAAGGCGACGAUGCGUAGCCGACCUGAGAGGGUGAUCGGCCACACUGGAACUGAGACACGGUCCAGACUCCUACGGGAGGCAGCAGUAGGGAAUCUUCCGCAAUGGGCGAAAGCCCGACGGAGCAACGCCGCGUGAGUGAUGAAGGUCUUCGGAUCGUAAAACUCUGUUAUUAGGGAAGAACAAAUGUGUAAGUAACUAUGCACGUCUUGACGGUACCUAAUCAGAAAGCCACGGCUAACUACGUG